GUCAUUUGCCGUGUGAUUUAGCAAAGUGAAGACGUGCGCGUAACACAAAGUUAAAAAACUUUUGUAGUGAACUGGGCAUUCGUGCCACCCUUCCGUACCUCGAGGCCUCUUUGCUUUUCGCUAGACCAGACAGCUAAGGGAAUAAUAUCAUAACCCAUAACAUGGAACAUAAACUUAAAUAAAAAAUAAUAUGUUUGUAUAUAUAUAACUGUAUUACAAAAUAUAAUGAAAAAAAAUA